AUGGACGACGCGCCCGCUGACGCCGCCGCAUCCGGCCGCCGCACGCGCACCCGGGGCACCGAGGCGGUGGCGCGCUCCGCGGCGCUCGAGCGCCUCCGCGCCAUCCGCGGCGGCGGCGCCCGCUCCGCCGCCGCCGUCCAGGUGCGGAUGGAGGACCCGAUCUACGACACCGUCGCCGAGGAGGACUACGCCGCCCUCGUCGCCCGCCGCCGCAAGGACGCCGGCGCCUUCAUCAUCGACGACGACGGCCUCGGCUACGUCGACGACGGGCGAGAGGAGGACUGGACCCACCGCGCCCUCCCUUCCUCCUCCGACGAGGGAUCUGGCGGCGAGGAGGGCGCCCCCCGCAAGCGGAAGCAGCCGCGCCCUCCCCAGGCGAAGCGUCCGCCCCAGCAGUCUGCUGCGGCGGCGUCCCUCUCCGCCGCCGGUGCGAUGACGGGCAAGGAUCGCCUCUCCGCCAUGUUCACCUCCUCCUUUUUUAAGAAGCCAGGCAGCGACCGCACCAAGGGCUCGUCGCUGGCCGCGGACAGCAUCGUGGACGACGUCAUCGCCGAGUUCGCCCCCGACGAGAACGACCGCGAGGAGCGCCGUCGUCGCGUUGGCAGAGUCUCUGCCCCGACACCAACGCCUGCUCCAGUUGCCCAAAUUAAGGCAAUUCAAGCAGCCGUACACGCUGAAAUGGAGGUUAGAUCGGAUAAUGGGUUCGAGCCUGAUGUGGUUUCAGACCAUGGAAACGAUAUGGAGGUGGAAUUACAGCCAGAGGUGGAAUUGAAGCCUGAUGUGGAAAUGCAACCCAAAUUAGAAGCAGCUCCAGGUUCUAGUCCUGAAUUGGUUGAUGAGAAUAAGAGCUCGGAGGAACUGAAGCUGGAAGCUAAUGGGGAGGUGAAGAUAGAGAAGGUGCACCGUUUAAACGCUAAGAUUAAGGCAGAGGGCACCAGGAAUGGUGAUAUGUUGAGUGCAACAGCAGGUUGGAUGAAGAUAUGUGGGGAGGGGGAGAAUGCAGGAGGCGAGGGAGAGGUGUCUGUUAAUGGUAACACCGAUGUAGAUGAAAGCUCGGAGUUUGAGCUGAAGGAUGGAGCACUGCCGUUCUAUGUGCUGGAUGCAUAUGAGGAGCCCUUCGGUAUUAAUUCAGGCACAGUUUAUUUGUUUGGAAAGGUUGUAAUAGGCAAGCGGUUCCAUAGUUGUUGUGUUGUUGUAAAAAAUAUGCAAAGGUGCAUAUAUGCAAUCCCAAGCAGUUCAGUAUUCCCAAGGGACACAAUAUCAAGGAUAGAGAAGAACUCCACAAGUUCUGAUGCUUCGCCAUCACUUCGAGCAACUUUACAUGAGUUGUCAUCUGGACUAAAGAUUGAAGUAGCUGAGAAGUUGUCUGACCUCAAUGUUUCAAAUUUUGUGAUGACUCCAGUCAAGAGGAACUAUGCAUUUGAGAGGACCGAUGUACCAAUCGGUGAGCAGUAUGUCCUGAAAAUCAAUUACCCAUAUAAGGAUCCUGCGGUACCAGCCGACCUCAGAGGUGAACAUUUCCAUGCGUUACUUGGGACAAACAAUAGUGCACUUGAACUGUUUCUCAUCAAAAGAAAGAUCAAGGGUCCUUCAUGGCUAUCGAUUUCUAAAUUUGUGGCAUGUCCAUCUACUCAGCGGGUCAGCUGGUGUAAAUUUGAAGUUACAGUCGACUCCCCAAAAGACAUUUCUGUUUUGAUGACAAGUACCACACUGGAAGUCCCCCCAGUUGUAGUUGCGGCUGUUAAUCUUAAAACUAUCAUAAAUGAGAAACACAACGUGCAUGAGAUUGUGUCAGCAUCAGUCAUAUGCUGUCACCAAGUAAAAAUUGAUACUCCAAUGCGUUCUGAAGAUUGGCAGAAACGGGGAACGAUCAGCCAUUUUACUGUUAUGCGCAAGCUUGAAGGCAGCAUAUUUCCUAUAGGCCUCACCAAAGAAGCUUCUGAUAGGAACCAGAAGGCUGGUAGCAAUGUGCUGGCACUAGAGAGCAGUGAACGUGCUUUGUUAAAUCGCUUGAUGAUUGAGCUUAGUAAACUUGAUUGUGAUGUACUUGUGGGGCACAACAUUUCGGGAUUCGACCUGGAUGUCCUUCUGCACCGUGCUCAGACCUGCAAAGUACCAAGCAGCAUGUGGUCCAAAAUUGGUCGCCUUAGAAGAUCAGUAAUGCCCAGGCUUACCAAAGGAAACACACUAUAUGGUUCUGGGGCAAGUCCAGGAAUUAUGUCCUGUAUUGCUGGCCGUCUCCUCUGUGAUACCUACUUAUGCUCUCGUGAUCUUCUGCGGGAGGUGAGUUAUUCUCUGACACAACUUGCAGAGACUCAAUUGAAAAAAGACAGAAGAGAGGUUUCGCCACAUGAUAUACCUCCAAUGUUCCAAUCAUCGGGAACACUUCUAAAGCUGGUUGAGUACGGUGAGACUGAUGCAUGGCUUUCUUUGGAGCUCAUGUUCCACUUGAGUGUUCUCCCGCUCACACGCCAACUGACAAAUAUUAGUGGUAAUCUGUGGGGAAAAACUCUCCAGGGUGCUAGAGCUCAGAGGGUAGAAUAUCUACUGUUGCAUUCAUUCCAUGCAAAAAAAUUCAUUAUACCAGAUAAGUUUGCUGCACGCAAUAAGGAGCUGAACUCUGCAAAACGAAAGCUUAAUGCUGAUACCGAAGGUGGAAAUGCUGCUGAUGGUGCUGCUGAUCCUUCCAUUGAUGAUGAGGUGCAUAAUGGUGAUCAAGGUAAAGCAAGAAAAGGCCCUUCAUAUGCUGGUGGUUUGGUUUUGGAGCCUAAAAAAGGUCUAUACGACAAGUAUAUUCUACUUCUGGACUUCAACAGUCUUUAUCCUUCAAUAAUUCAGGAAUUCAAUAUCUGCUUCACCACUGUUGAGCGUUCUUCUGAUGGCAAUCUCCCUAACCUGCCAAAUUCAAAGGCUACUGGUGUUUUACCUGAGUUGCUGAAGAGCUUGGUGGAGAGGAGAAGAAUGGUUAAAUCAUGGCUCAAAACCGCCUCUGGUCUCAAAAGGCAGCAGUUUGAUAUUCAACAGCAAGCUUUGAAGCUUACCGCAAACAGUAUGUAUGGUUGCUUGGGAUUUUCUAAUUCUAGGUUUUUUGCAAAGCCACUUGCCGAGCUUAUCACCCUACAAGGUAGAGAGAUCUUGCAAAACACUGUUGAUCUGGUUCAGAAUAAUUUAAACUUGGAGGUUAUUUAUGGUGACACGGACUCCAUAAUGAUAUAUACUGGACUGGAUGACAUCUCCAAGGCAAAAGCAAUUGCUGGAAAGGUCAUUCAGGAGGUGAACAAGAAGUACCGUUGUCUGGAGAUCGAUCUUGAUGGUGUAUACAAAAGAAUGUUGCUUCUCAAAAAGAAGAAAUAUGCUGCCAUUAAAGUGGCACUAGAUGGUAGUUUACGAGAGAACAUUGAGCGCAAGGGACUCGAUAUGGUCAGGCGUGAUUGGAGUAUGCUGUCAAAAGAAAUUGGUGAUUUUUGCCUGAAUCAAAUCUUGUCUGGAGGGACAUGUGAUGAUGUUAUUGAGUCAAUACAUAACUCUCUUGUCCAGGUCCAAGCACAGAUGAAAAGUGGUCAAAUAGAGCUUGAAAAAUAUAUCAUCACAAAGAGUCUAACAAAAGCGCCAGAAGAUUAUCCAGAUGCUAAAAACCAGCCUCAUGUCCAGGUUGCUUUAAGACUGAAGCAAAAUGGUUUCUCUGGAUGCUCUGCAGGUGAUACUGUUCCAUAUAUUAUAUGCUCGCAACAGGAUUCAGAUAAUACACAUUCUGGGGGAAUUGCUCAAAGAGCUAGACAUCCGGAUGAGUUAAAACGAGACCCUAACAAGUGGAUGAUUGACAUCGAGUACUAUUUGUCACAGCAGAUUCAUCCUGUCGUUUCUCGUCUGUGUGCUUCAAUUGAGGGUACUAGCCCUGCCCGACUGGCUGAAUGUCUUGGACUUGACUCAUCAAAGUUCCAAUCAAGAUCAAUUGGGUCUAGCAAUGAGGAUACGUCUACCAUGCUCUUAUCUGUAAUUGAUGAUGAAGAUGAGAGAUAUCGUGGCUGUGAGCCACUGCGUUUAUCAUGCCCAAGCUGUACCAAUACCUUCGAGUGCCCCCCUGUGUCCAGUCUGAUUGCUAGUUUAUCAGAUCCAAAUGAAGGAAAAGAUGCUACUGUGAAUUUCUGGCGUCGGAUGCGGUGCCCAAGAUGUCCAGAUGAUACUGAUGAGUGCAGAGUUUCUCCUGCUGUGCUUGCCAACCAGAUAAAAAGACAGGCUGAUAAUUUCAUCAAUCGGUAUUACAAAGGUUUACUGAUGUGCGAUGACGAGGGUUGCAAAUAUUCAACUCACAUUGUGAACCUUAGAGUGAUGGGGGAUUCUGAGAGAGGAACCAUCUGCCCGAACUAUCCACAAUGCAACGGCCGUCUAGUAAGACAGUACACAGAGGCAGAUCUAUACAGGCAAUUGUCCUACUUUUGCUAUGUACUUGAUGCAACCCGGUGUCUUGAUAAGUUGGACCAGAAGAUGCGGCUUCCUUUUGAGAAAGAGUUUGCAGUAUUAAACCAAACAAUAAGCUCCGCAUUUCUGGAGAUUCAGAAAAUCCGAGACAGAUGUGCUUUCGGAUGGGUUCAAUUGACAGAUCUAGCAGUGUCAAUCUGA
rnacentral:rRNA from 1 species